UACGUAGGGGGGCUAGCGUUGUCCGGAAUCAUUGGGCGUAAAGAGCGUGUAGGCGGCCCGGUAAGUCCGCUGUAAAAGUCAAAGGCUCAACCUUUGAAUGUCAGUGGAUACUGCCGGGCUAGAGUCCGGAAGAGGCGAGUGGAACUCCUGGUGUGCGGUGGAAUGCGCAGAUAUCAGGAAGAACACCAACGGCGAAGGCAGCUCGCUGGGACGGUACUGACGCUGAGACGCGAAAGCGUGGGGAGCGAACAGG
rnacentral:rRNA from 1 species